CCUACGGGAGGCAGCAGUGGGGAAUAUUGCACAAUGGGGGAAACCCUGAUGCAGCGACGCCGCGUGAGUGAAGAAGUAUUUCGUUAUGUAAAGCUCUAUCAGCAGGGAAGAAAAUGACGGUACCUGACUAAGAAGCCCCGGCUAACUACGUGCCAGCAGCCGCGGUAAUACGUAGGGGGCAAGCGUUAUCCGGAUUUACUGGGUGUAAAGGGAGCGUAGACGGCGGUGCAAGUCUGGAGUGAAAGGCGGGGGCUCAACCCCCGGACUGCACUGGAAACUGUACAGCUGGAGUGCAGGAGAGGUAAGUGGAAUUCCUAGUGUAGCGGUGAAAUGCGUAGAUAUUAGGAGGAACACCAGUGGCGAAGGCGGCUUACUGGACUGUAACUGACGUUGAGGCUCGAAAGCGUGGGGAGCAAACAGGAUUAGAUACCCGGGUAGUC
rnacentral:rRNA from 1 species